AUUGAACGCUGGCGGCAUGCCUUACACAUGCAAGUCGAACGGUAACAGGUCUUCGGAUGCUGACGAGUGGCGAACGGGUGAGUAAUACAUCGGAACGUGCCUAGUAGUGGGGGAUAGAUACUCGAAAGAGUGGCUAAUACCGCAUGAGAUCUACGGAUGAAAGCAGGGGAUCGCAAGAACUUGUGCUACUAGAGCGGCCGAUGGCAGAUUAGGUAGUUGGUGGGAUAAAAGCUUACCAAGCCGACGAUCUGUAGCUGGUCUGAGAGGACGAUCAGCCACACUGGGACUGAGACACGGCCCAGACUCCUACGGGAGGCAGCAGUGGGGAACUUUGGACAAUGGGCGCAAGCCUGAUCCAGCAAUGCCGCGUGCAGGAUGAAGGCCUUGGGGUUGUAAACUGCUUUUGUACGGAACGAAAAGCCCUGGGUUAAUACCCUGGGGUCAUGACGGUACCGUAAGAAUAAGCACCGGCUAACUACGUGCCAGCCGCCGCCGUAAGAC
rnacentral:rRNA from 1 species